GGGAAGGUAGCUCAGUGGUAGAGUGCUUGCCUUCCAUGCAUGAGGCCCUGGGUUCAAUUCCUCAGCACCA
rnacentral:tRNA from 1 species